UACGGGGGGAGCAAGCGUUGUUCGGAUUUACUGGGCGUAAAGGGCGCGUAGGCGGCCAGCACAAGUCAGUUGUGAAAUCUCCGAGCUUAACUCGGAAAGGUCAACUGAUACUGUGCGGCUAGAGUGCGGAAGGGGCAACUGGAAUUCUUGGUGUAGCGGUGAAAUGCGUAGGUAUCAAGAGGAACACCUGCGGCGAAGGCGGGUUGCUGGGCCGACACUGACGCUGAGGCGCGAAAGCCAGGGGAGCGAACGGG
rnacentral:rRNA from 1 species